rnacentral:rRNA from 2 species
UGUUUCGGCUAGGGGGCCAUCCCGGCUUACCAACCCGAUGCAAACUGCGAAUACCGGAGAAUGUUAUCACGGGAGACACACGGCGGGUGCUAACGUCCGUCGUGAAGAGGGAAACAACCCAGACCGCCAGCUAAGGUCCCAAAGUCAUGGUUAAGUGGGAAACGAUGUGGGAAGGCCCAGACAGCCAGGAUGUUGGCUUAGAAGCAGCCAUCAUUUAAAGAAAGCGUAAUAGCUCACUGGUCGAGUCGGCCUGCGCGGAAGAUGUAACGGGGCUAAACCAUGCACCGAAGCUGCGGCAGCGACACUCAGGUGUUGUUGGGUAGGGGAGCGUUCUGUAAGCCUGUGAAGGUGGCCUGUGAGGGUUGCUGGAGGUAUCAGAAGUGCGAAUGCUGACAUAAGUAACGAUAAAGCGGGUGAAAAGCCCGCUCGCCGGAAGACCAAGGGUUCCUGUCCAACGUUAAUCGGGGCAGGGUGAGUCGACCCCUAAGGCGAGGCCGAAAGGCGUAGUCGAUGGGAAACGGGUUAAUAUUCCCGUACUUGGUGUUACUGCGAAGGGGGGACGGAGAAGGCUAUGUUGGCCGGGCGACGGUUGUCCCGGUUUAAGCGUGUAGGUGUGUGUUCCAGGUAAAUCCGGUUCACUUUAACACUGAGGCGUGACGACGAGGCACUACGGUGCUGAAGCAACAAAUGCCCUGCUUCCAGGAAAAGCCUCUAAGCAUCAGGUAACAUCAAAUCGUACCCCAAACCGACACAGGUGGUCAGGUAGAGAAUACCAAGGCGCUUGAGAGAACUCGGGUGAAGGAACUAGGCAAAAUGGUGCCGUAACU